GAUGAACGCUGACAGAAUGCUUAACACAUCAGCAAUUGAUUGGUGGCGGACGGGUGAGUAACGCGUAAAUAACUUGCCUCUCAGGUAGGGACAACAUUUGGAAACGAAUGCUAAUACCUAAUACUGUGAGAGAGCUUUGCGUCACAUGAGCUAGUUGGAGAGGUAACGGCUCACCAAGGCGAGGAUGGGUAGCCGGCCUGGGAGUGUGAUCGGCCACAGGGGGACAGGGACACGGGCCUUACGCAUACGGGAGGAAGCAGUGGAAAAUAUAGGCAAAUGGACCAAAGUCUGAUGCAGCAAUUCUGUGUGCACGAUGAAGUUUUCGGAAUGUAAAGUGCUUUCAGUUGGCAAGCGGUACCAACAGAAGAAGUGACGGCUAACUCCGUGCCAGCAGCCGCGGUAAUUC
rnacentral:rRNA from 1 species